AUACUGAUAGUAUUAACCCCGUACAGCUGCCUUCCAAGCAGAAAGACCUUCUGGUCAGUAUAC
rnacentral:tRNA from 1 species